CGCUCCGUGCAGCCUUUCCGUUACUCUCCGGCAGUUAUCCCGUUCUGGGUGCUCGUGUAGCUUGGAGGGCACCGAGGUUACCGAGCGGAAAAGCGAGGUGCCCGCUGCCCAGAAGCGGAUGCGAGGCCCCCUGAGCCCGCAGUUGACGGCGGUGCCCUCGUUCCCGCCCUGCUCGCCGCCUCUCCCGGCGCCGCUCUUCCCACGGCCGGUGGCCGAGGCCGCGCCGAUGAACCCGGCUCAGGAGGAAAGUCUCUAACUGAAGACAAGGGUUUGAUAGACUACGGACAUUGGUUUGUACAUUCAGAUCACUUCAAACUGACCCCUAAGAUAUGUCAGUAAUUGGUUUAAUCUAGAGAGACAUUCUAUAUUGCUUCUUGCUUUAACUAGUGCAGAACAGACUGAGGGCGAGGAAGACAAGAAGGAGCCCAUCCCAGAAGCAAUUGCAUUCAUCCAGGUGAGUGUUGGUUGUGGCAGGACCAGAGUGGUGGGUGUGGAGGUAGGAGAAACACUUGGCCUCUGGAUUUGUUUUGAAGUGGGGGCUGACCAGCUGUUGUAAUGUGGAGGGGUCACAGAUGACUCUAAAGUCCCCUUUGCAUCUGGAAGAGUGGAUGCGCCACGAGCUGAGAUGGGGAAGUCAGUGGUAGGAGUACUUUCUAAUGAGAAUAUUAGGAAUUGGGUUUUGGCCUUGUUGAGGUUCACAUGUUCCAGAGACUCCACAGUAUAGGAGACCAGUAUAGAGCUGAACAGGUAGGUCUUGAGGACAUGCAGAAGGGGGUUGUCACAAAGUCAAGGAAGAGGAAUGGUCAUCAGCAAGAAAGUAGGGAGAAGGAGAAGGGAAAGUCCAGCAGGAAGCUAAGGUUUUCAUGGCUCGGAAUUAGUCCAGAGGGUUCCAUUAGUCUCAGCCCUUCUCUGCUAAGUGGACCUCUGGGCUCCAGGUUCUGCCCCCUCCUAGUUGACGUUUCCUGGGACCUCACUGUAUUGGGAGUUGUUGGGACCCAACAGUGUCCCUGUCUGUGGGGUCCACCUGGCUGUCUCUGUGAGGACACCCCCCCCCCCACAGAGAUUCGUUUUGUGGUGGUAUUUUUCUUUCCCGAGAUUGUUUGGGAUUGGUUGUCCUCCUGGGCCAGUACUGACCACUCACCUGUCCUGUCUUUCCCUUAGGACUUGCAUCUUCUGGGUCCCAUGUUGUCCAGCUAGAGCUGAGAGGGAGUGGACAUGGCUCAAGGCACAGCAAGAGGGCCUCAGAGUGGGCCUGGCCCUGGUGAUUCACAUCUGGGGGAGGAUGUGAUGUCACAGCUGGGUUCACAUCAUACCAGGAACAUGUCCUGUGCCCAGCACUGUUUGGGUGUGUUGCACCCCAACCUUGAGUCUUUUGCCUGGCGAGUCCUCCCUGUUCUGAGACAUGUAGCGGCCCAGAACCUGCAAAGCAGCCCUUUCCUACCCUGCCCCUCCCCCUUGUCCUAAAACUAGUCCCAUGGACUUAUUCCCUGGUAUGUUGGAACACAUAUCUGUGAUGGGGCUGCCCCCUUUCUACCAAAAUCUGCAUGAGUUCACUUUUAUUUCUCUACUUUUAGGCUGCUGACAUGGAGCUGAGGACCAGUAGACACCUUCUGGGCAGAAUAUUUCUGUAGAAGUGCCUCAGAUACAUCCUUCAACGGCAGACUUGUCCACCCAGACGACCUGUCCCUGGGAGAGGUGUAGGCUGGACUUAGAAUUUAUGAAGAGCUGCACAGUCCCUGCUUCCACAUUGUCCUCACAUUGCGGGAAGCUGGGGAGGAUUUCCCUGGUAGCUCUGGCCUUCCCCCUCCCAGCAGCCCUGGGAUCUAUUUGCUUUCCUUUAACAAAGACUUUGCCUGCUUGCUGCCUGUGUGUUCCCAGAGUUCAUUUCUUUGACUGCCCUGAUCAGGAACCCGGAUUCCCAUAUCUUUCUGUUGGUAUCUUUUGGGGACUAGUCUGGGAUCCAAUCCAAUACAUCUGCACUCAUAA